CGGCGGGGCUGGAGCAGGCGGAGGGUGAGUGACGGCGGGGCGACGCUCAGCGCCGUCUUCAGUGGGAAGCGAAUCAGCCGUAGGUGGGAAAUUAGGGUCACAUCUCCGAUCUCCCGAGGCAGUAAAUCUGUGAGCAACUUUUUGAAGCCUGGACGGAACUGAAUCAUGUGAAAAUCAGUUUCAUCUGAGGAAGCUCUCUGGUAUCCCAGAUAUCUAUACAGACACUGUGCUUAGCCACCUGAUCCACAAAACUGAGGACUGCUUAACACCUGUGAAAUUUCACAGCAUGACAGCAGAGCUGAGGCUGGAAGGCACAUCUGGAGCUCCACUGGUCCAGCCCCCUGUUCAGAGCAUGGGCAGUGAGAGCACAUUGCCCAGGGCUGUGUCCACAUGGGCUUGGGGUUUCAUCAAGGUUGGAGACUCCACAGCCUUACGGGGCAACCUGUUCCAAUGUUCAGCCACCCGCAUGGGGAAAAAUGCUUUUCGUAUGUUGAAUGAAAUGUUCUGUGUUUCUGUUUGUGCCUAUUGAAUAGCACCGAGAAAAGUCCAGCUUCAUCUUCUUUACCCCUCCUAUCAGACUUUCAUACACUUCAGUAAAGCGUCCUGUGCCCUCCUCAAGCCUCCCCUUCUCAAGGUUAAGCAGCCCUAGCUCAGUCUUCCCACUCCUUACCUCCGUGGCUGAACACAUGCCUCCUCCCUGGCUUGCUGCUUGGAAAAAACACUUCAUAUACAUACAGAUAAUAGGAA
ensembl:lncRNA